rnacentral:rRNA from 1 species
GACGAACGCUGGCGGCGUGCUUAACACAUGCAAGUCGAACGGUGAAGCGCCUUCCUUUUUGGUGGGUGUGGAUGAGUGGCGAACGGGUGAGUAACACGUGAGUAACCUGCCCCCUUCUUCUGGAUAACCGCAUGAAAGUGUGGCUAAUACGGGAUAUUCUGGGUCUGUCGCAUGAUGGGUCUGGGAAAGAUAUUGUUUCGGUGGGGGAUGGGCUCGCGGCCUAUCAGCUUGUUGGUGGGGUGAUGGCCUACCAAGGCGGUGACGGGUAGCCGGCCUGGGAGGGUGGACGGCCAGAGUGGGACUGAGACACGGCCCAGACUCCGACGGGAGGCAGCAGUGGGGAAUAUGGCACAAUGGGCGCAAGCCUGAUGCAGCGACGCCGCGGGAGGGAUGGCGGCCUUCGGGUUGUGAACCUCUUUCGCCAGUGAAGCAGGCCUGCCUCGUUUGUGGGUGGGUUGACGGUAGCUGGAUAAGAAGCGCCGGCUAACUACGUG